rnacentral:misc_RNA from 1 species
GAUGAAGAACGCAGCGAAUUGCGAUAAGUAAUGUGAAUUGCAGAAUUCAGUGAAUCAUCGAAUCUUUGAACGCACAUUGCGCCCCUUGGUAUCCCGAGGGGCAUGCCUGUUCGAGCGUCAUUUCACCACUCAAGCCUGGCUUGGUGUUGGGCGACGUCCCCUUUGGGGACGCGCCUCGAAACGCUCGGCGGCGUGGCACCGGCUUUAAGCGUAGCAGAAUCUUUCGCUUUGGAAGUCGGGGCCCCGUCUGCCGGAAGACCUACUCGCAAGGUUGACCUCGGAUCAGGCAGGGAUACCCGCUGAACUUAAGCAUAUCAAUAAGCGGAGGA